rnacentral:tRNA from 1 species
GUAAGAAUGAUAUAUUCGAUAAUGAUUUGAAAUCAUUGUUUAUUACUCAAAGUUAGUAAGUCUUACU